rnacentral:lncRNA from 1 species
GACCCUAGUGCCUCAGCCUGCCUGUUCUGCCUGCCAUGCUUCCUGCUCUUACCUUAGCCCAUUUUACCCAAUUGAUGCAUAUGACUACACAUGGCUGUACGCCAUAUAUACUUGGGUCCCUUUUUGCUACAUUUUUGCGCACGACAUACCAUAAUCCAUCUAAUUUGACAUCAAUAUCAACUAAUUCUCUUCCAAUCACUUUUUCUGCAAAAACACAAUAAAACGUAUAAAAAGGAAUCGAAAAUACCAAAAGACAUAAUUUAUAAAGCCAAAAGUACUCAAUUUGUAGCUAUAAAACCCACUCAUCACAUAGUAACAUCACAAUGUGUAAGCUUAAUUAUUCUUUUUAGUGUACUGUAAUCUUUGGUGUUAUUCUUGAAUUAGUUGGUUGUUCAAGUAUGUGUAUAACAAGAAAAAGUUAAAUGGUGUUUUUGAGACACAUUGUGUUUGGUUGUGCUAAAUGUGCACUGACUAACAAGGUGUAUAUUCAAUUGAUGAUCCAUAAUGAAGUACAAGUUAAGAGGUAAGGGGUUCAUUUGCAAGACGCUCCUGUAAAUCUUGCCCCUCUCACUUUGUAUAGCAAUAUUAAACAAUACAAAGUUGGUACUACUGUAAAACAAAUCACAAGAAUAAAGUAGAGUUUUGUCUUUUCAUUGCUUUAACACAUCUUAUUUAGUUUUUAUUUAAGUUUGAGCUGCUAUAACUUUUUGUAUUUCCUUCUAAAAAUAUUUUCAUCCUAUAUUAAUACUAGCCCCUUCAAUCCAAAAUAUAGAACCAAUAUUGACAUUUUGAAGUUCGUUUGAGAUAUUUCAAAUUCAAAAUUAAUAUGAAUUAACUUAGUUUUUGACAAUACUCUUUUGAAAAUUGUAAAUUAUCUAAGUACUGCUAAUUCUAAAAUUUAUUGUUUUCAAAAGUAAAGUAAAACGCAUUAAUUUUGAAUUUAAAAAUUUCUCAAAUUGACUUUAAAUAGUCAACCUGUCCUAUAUUUUGGAACGGAGGGAGUACAUUUUUUAUCACCCGAGUCCAUUUUUUUUAUUGAUUUAGAUAUUUCAUGCAUGUAUAGGAUAUAAUUCUCUUUUAGGCCAUGGGGCUAAGCGGAGGAAGUCAAUAUCUCGAUAGCAAUGCAUUAAGAUUAUGCUGUAAGAAAAAAUAAUACAAAUUGCAUUAACCUAUUACCUAUAACUGUGCCAACUGUCGAAGUAUAAUCGAGUCCACAAAUCCUUCCCAAGAUUUUGUUGUGUGAUUACAAUUUAAGUAACUGUAGCAUAGAGAGCUUAUGAUUUCGAUGUUCAAAGUCAUGUUUGUUACCCCUGCCUAAAAGUAAAGGAGUUAAUUAAUAUAUACCACCAUUUGACCACUCCAACACCUAAGCAAUUUUUGCUGUCACCUUGCAACAGUGUUAUCCUUUUAGAAUGUCUAUUAAUUGUAUAUUGGAAAUUUUAGUUGCUGAAUGUUUCUUAUACUAUUCUCACAAUGCUAAAUUACAAUAGGUAUGACUCCUGAUUCCUUUAGUUUGGGAAGUGUUCUCAAAAUAUUUGUUCGAGAUAAUGGUCUCACAAAGGUCAUGCAGAUACACGGAUUUAUUGUCCAACUAGGUUUUGGAUCACAUAAUAUAUUGACUGGAUCACUGAUUGAUGCUUAUGUUAAAUGUGGAAGUUUAAGAAGUGCAAAUGGCAUAUACAAGACUAUGCUAAGAAAAGAUACAGUAUCCUGCACUGCAUUGAUCACCGGAUAUGCUGGUGAAGGUAAUGACUAUAAUGUUGCCCUGGAUCUUUUUAAUGAAUUACGCCAGAUGUGUCUUGCAGUUGACGAUAUUAUACUUUGCUCGAUUCUCAAUAUUUGUGCUAAUUCAGCAUCGCUGGCCUUGGGAAGACAAAUUCAUGCUAUUGCAGUAAAAUAUCAACCCAAUCAUGAUAUGGCCAUGAGCAAUGCUCUCAUUGAUAUGUACUCAAAAUCCGGAGAAAUUAAAGAUGCUAACCAGGUUUUUAAUGAGAUGAAGGAGAAAAAUGUCAUUUCAUGGACGUCACUGAUUGCUGGAUUUGGAAAGCACGGCGAUGGGCACACGGCAAUAGAUCUAUAUAGGAAGAUGGAAUAUGAAGGGUUAAGGCCGAAUGAUAUUACAUUCUUAUCUGUCCUCUUUGCUUGUAGUCAUAAUGGUUUGACUGGAGAAGGAUGGGAGUGCUUUAAGAAUAUGAUUGGCAAAUAUAAUAUCUUGCCAAGAGCUGAGGACUAUUCUUGUAUGGUCGACCUCUUAGCACGUGGAGGCCGGUUAGAAGAAGCCCAUGAUUUUAUAUUCAAGCUGAAUAUUAAACCUAAUGCCUCACUUUGGGGUGCAAUUCUUGGGGCAUGUAGCAUCUAUGGUAAUACAACUCUAGGAGAAAUAGCAGCCAACCAUCUGUUUAAUAUGGAACCUGGGAACUCUGUCAACUAUGUGGUUCUAGCAAGCAUAUAUGCCUCAGCCGGCUUAUGGGACAGUGCAUGGAAGACUAGGAAAUUGAUGGAAGAGAAAUGUAUGAAAAAGAAUCCUGGAGGCAGCUAUUUUCAGUCCAGAAAAAAGAGUGCAAAGCUUCUGACAACAGGUUGAAGUGACAACUGUUCAGGUACUUUUUUUCCAGUUAGUUGAAGAUGCUUGGAGAGGUGAUUGAGUGCAGACCUAAAUCCUAAUGUCCGGCUUUUACCCGAUUGGCGCCUUAGGAAACAGCACUAAGAGACGUAUCUAACCAAGGAUUCUAUUCCUGAGAAGGAAUAGAGCAAGGCCUUGCUCUUGAAAAAAAAAACCAAAAAAGGGGAGGCUUACUUAUGGUUUCUCUCAAAAUGAUGCUCAAAUCAUCACACUAUGCCGCCCAGGCUUCUAAGUGACAUGAUAGCCCCUGUUUCGCGUUCUUAAGUUAAAAGGUUAUAUUAUGUCGAUGCUGCAAAGGAUAUUUGGAAACAUUUGUUGGAUCUCGCUGCAACGUAUACCAAUGACUGAGGUUCAGUGGUAGGCUUUUCUUUGGAUCAGAUUCUUGUAUUUUUUUUCCAGUUUCAACAUCCAAUAUUGAUCUCCAUCAGGUCUUGCUCCUUAUUGACUUUAUCCUUUUUGGGUCUCCUUGACUUAAUGUUCUGUAUACAGCCUGCUUGGAGGAUGUUUUUUUUUUUUGCAAAGUUGAGAUUAUUUCUUCUUCUAGAGGUCAGUUUACUCUUUACUCUUUACUCUUUACUGUUUACAUGAACUUCUUAACAAGUCAUUUCUGUUAAAUUUCCACUUGUGUUAUUAUUGGCUUCAAAAACGUGGGUUAAUAUUAAAUCUAAUUAUGAAAACUGUAAUUAUCUUGCACUUAUAUCAGGUUUUCUUCUGCUGAAGCAGUUAUGUUCUCGUCAAGUAGCAUCAGUUAUCUAUCUCAGGUUUUUUAUGUUCUCAUCAGUUAGCAUCAGUUGUGGCUUUCACUCGCGUUUUAGGCAUCAUGUUAAUAUCACAAUUUCAGUUUAAUUUUGCAGUUGUUAGAUCCGAAUGUGCAUCUAAGUUGUGAAAGUUAGGGCUGUUAAAGAAAUCCGAAAAACCUUGAAAACGGGUCAAACGGAAUGGUCUAUUUGAGUUAUCAUGCGGUCAUCCCAGGUUUGUCUGUUUUCUAUCAGUUGGAGAAAGACAACUUAUUUAGUUUUAGCUGUAUAUAGACCUGACAAAAAAAACCUGUAAAAUAUAGUAGUUGGUGUUAGUGUAGUUCUUAUCAUGUGGACUAUCACCAAAAUAUACAAUGAAAAUCCUGAACUGAAUUUUUUAGGAGAAAACCUAAAACUUAAUAGCUGCACAGAUAUGAGCAAUUGCGCAUUGUGCUGAAUUCUUCAUAGGGGGACACUGGUGUUUUUGGCAUUGCUUUCCAUCCCUACUCAUCACACGGCUGUCAUCUCUUCUUAUGGUGGUGAUUUCGAGGUACCUUGAUAUAUUUAUAAAUCUAGCAAGCUUGAAGCUUAAUGAGGAUGGAAAUAAGAGAAAUAAAAUAUUAUCUCCGUUAUUAUAAGAUCAAUAGUGACUUUUUAAAAGUCAAUUUGUGAUAUUUUUAAAUUUAAAAUUGACAUAUUUCAUUUUAAAUUUGCUAAUAACAAGUUACUUCGCAUGUGUGUUGAGCAAAUAAAAAAACAAAAAUAAAAUUUAUCAAGAGAAAAUAAUUAGGAACGAUGGAUAGUGGGGGUGGAUGUGACUCCCCUAAAACCGGGUUAACUUUAAAUUCCCGUGAUCUGGUGCCCACGGUACUACUUUCAAUACAUCUUUCUAGACAUAAUUGUAAUCACUAUAUCAUUACAAAAUGUCCCCUUCUAAUCCUAGGUUCUAAGACUUUUACAUCUUCAAAACAUAACUUAUAUUCUUUACAAUAUUACAUCAAGUACUAAUAUUAUAAUUAAUAUAAACGUCUUCUAACUUUAACUUUUCCUUCUUCCUUGACUUUAACGGAUUCUUCAGUUCGCUCUAGCUUAGUUGAAUAUAUUUAAUUGAAGCAAGUGUGAACAUUUAAUUGCUCAACAUAAACAGUUAAAUAAACGACACCAUGAAUAAAAUCACCUUUGUCUCAAGUCUUCAACAAUUGAACAAUAAUUGUGAGAAAUAAUUCGAAUAAAUAGGAAUAAAAAUUUUCCUUCAUCUUAUACACUUUUAACAUUCAUGAUGAGCAGUCAUAAAGACCUUAAACUUUUUCCUUCGUUACCAGAAGGUUUUAACAAUUCUUCGGCUGUAAACCGACAAAAUAUUAACAAUCAUAAAGACUAAAAUUAUUCUCCGCGAGUACUUUAGGGGAUUAGCCUAUCGUACCCUAUAUUGUGAACAACAUAUAAAUUGAAACGACUAUAUGCGUUUAUUUGGACCCCACUUGGUCUUAAUGGUUUUCACUGAUUAUUUUAUUUUGACAUCACCUAAUCUUACUGGACAUUACCGACUAAAAAUACCCCUAAUAAUAGGGUUUUAUAUCUCAGACUUACUUCGAAAUCCAUACUAGUUCAAUUUAGUUUGGAUAGCUCUACUUAACAUCAAUGAAUUAAUAGAAUUCAAUUAAACACUUUAACAUUCGUCUAGCCGGAACAAAUGACAUAGACACAAUCUUAACGCAGUUCAUGAGUAAAUAGAACUUUAAAAGCAUCAAUAUCGACAGUUCAAUAACAGAAUAUUUUUCUCAAGUGCACAUAAGUGCGAAUAUUAGCAUAAAAACCCAAAUUAUAGCUCGAAACUUGUAAAAGCAUAUAACAUUUGCAUAACUAUAGAAAAUACUUGCACAUAAUAAUAAUUUGACACAAGGUUAGAAAACUUACUCAGUUACAAUAUUUGAUCAAGUUUAGAAAAUUUGUACAACAUCAAAAUACUUGCACACAAUAAUCAAAUUGUACAAGAUUAGGAAACUUGUCUGGCACGCUCCUUACAAUUUACGCUAAAUUGCUAUUCAAACGACUUACAUAAUAAUUUUUAAGGUUGACAUACCAAUUAUCCACAAAAAUGACGCUACAUAUAGUUUACAUCAACUCAUUUUAUAUUUUACGAUGUUCGUGUUUUAUAACUCGAAACAACGUAUCAUAACAUCUUAAGUGACUUGGCACGCCGUUGCGGCACGCCCGCAUGCUUGACAUGUCUAUGCGAACGCCCAAGCCAUAUGCCAUUGAUCAACCUCAGUCAGCCCGCUUGCACGCCCAUCAUGCAUUGUCGUGGCAUCGCACACCUUAACAUACAUCUCAAAUACUUGGGACGGUGUCACGACAUUUGGAAACAACACACUGCUUGGAAACCAAGGUCAGUGUCGACUACACAACGCCCGCGCACGCCAGCCCCUCACCUCGCUCAGUAGCACGCCUUGCACGCUCACCCGAUCGCGCGCCCCAGCUGUCUGCCACCCGCGCCCAGCAGCACGCGCUAGCCCUGCCCAGCCCUGUGGCGCUACCUUUUUGCUUAGCCAUUUUCUAGCUUUCAUGCUUUCUAACUAUUAUGCUUUCUAACGCCCCUAUUUUGACUCUUCAAAACUCGGUCAUCCAAAGUCGGAAUGAGUUCGUUCUUGAAGAUAACAUAAACUACAAAACUCCCCGAAGGCCAUAAUUUUUCAACUUCGUUUCCUAGCCUUUUGUGGCUUGAAAAUCUUUCAUGACCUAGGUUUUGUUAUAUAAAGACUUAGUAGAAAUUUCGCCAUAACUUUGUUUUAAUAGAUUUUUUCUCCGUUCCAAUUGGAUUAUCUACGUAACUCAAUCUAAACAUAAAACCACCAUCAUACACACCAUCUUAUACCUCCGGAUCCACCAUUGAUCCUCCAUAAAAUCACAACACAACCAGUAAGCAAAUAAUAUAAAGCUUAGACAUGGCUAGGGUUUUAGAGUACCUUUUGGUGCUCUUCUUCUUGACUUGCUAGAUGAUGCUACCUUACUUGCUCUUCAUUCUCCCUUAGGCAAAUUCGAACCUCUCUCUUUCAAUAUUGCUAUAGUUUCUUCUCUUAGUUUUAGGGAUUGGAUCAAGAAAUAGGUCUCUCUAUUUAUAGAAAACCUAACACAUAUGGUAAAAGGUCAUUAGGACAAUUCUUGCAAGACCUCACAAGUUGAUCAUCCAAAUUUGGUCUUCAAUAGUCAAUCCCCUCAUCUAACACAAUCUUACAAACCAUCCCCUAGGUUAGCUUAACCAACCAACUACUUUAGCUAACCAAGGUUAAACUAGGGAACAAAAUGAUUAAAAAUCAAGACUUUAAUGCUUCGAUUAAAUGGAGGGUAGAUGGGCAUUAAUGGUUGCUUGUAAAGGCUCAAAACUUUCCAUAAAUGGAAAGCUUGGCCUCAAUUGGUCCCCAAAGGCACACACACUAACACAAAGCAAUUUCAGACAUCAACCACUGAAUUGAUCCCUUAUCAAUGUUCAUAUCUUGUUUCAAAGGAAAUUUUCAUAUUAUCUAAACAAACAGCAAACAAAUUUAUUGCUUAGGUUUCUGUUUGGUGACAUGCCGUACCUAACUAUCCUUAAUUUUUGAUUUAGAGAAAUGUGGCUAUGAUAAAUGGACUUUUUAUAUAUAUACAUUUUUCAACGAAUAUUGAAGCCAAACAGCGG